GCCGGUCACGUGGGGCGCUUCCGCGCAUCUUCCCUGCAACUUGUUUCGCGACACUACGCGACACGUGCCGGUCGGUAGGGUAGAGACGCGACGUUAUGCCCGAUAAUCGCGUUAACGUCGAACGGGAGUCGAGGAACGCAUGAGUAAGUGACCAAGGUCCCGGUGUUCCCUUUAAACGACCCACGCUCCGUGCCCGACAAAGACCAUGGACAUGAGACGCGUGAACUCCGCAGGGUGACUCGUCUAUGAAAACACUAGAAGGGAGAUUUCUCCCCUUUCGACGUUUCACCUCCAACGGUCACGAAACGGUCGCAUCUAACGUUCAGGAAGGAAAAGAGAGAGAAAAGAGGUAACCCAUGCUGGACCAUUAUCCCACGAGCGGUACAUAGUCACGAGUACACCGAUAAUUCCGCCCUUAAUUACGAGUUGGCAUCCCCUAGGAAACCUCGAUCGCCAGGUUCGCCCAUGAAAAGGUAAUGCCAUUAAUAACACUAACCAUAAAACUCGUAUUCCUAGCUCCAGAAGUAAUUCUUACCCCCCUCUAAUUAUCAUGCGCAGGGUGCCAUUAGAAGCGUACAAUUUAUUCAUCAUUUUCCCAGGAGGCGCCCCCGAAUCGACGAGUAACCCUCCCAGCGGGGUGGAAAAUCCCCGACAAUAGGAAAAUGCGAUUUCCCGGCAGUAAAACCCUGGAGUACGCGCAUUAACCUGGGGAAUUCAUCUCCUAAUCUCAGAGGUAAUUCGCGUGUUACGACCCUAUUAACGUCUUUCUCGUGGAACUGCAGUCUCGACUACUUUAGGUCGUUUGCAGGAUAACGUCUUUCCACCGUCGCGAGUCUUCGAGGACGACUUGCCCUCUCCUGGAUAAAGGGAGGGAUUCCUGGCGGAAUAUUUCCUCGGCUCGCCCUUGGAACGACCGACCAUCGAGACGCUGCAGCGAUUUUCGAGCGAGACCAGUUCCUGCAUCUGCAUUCUGAGGAGCAUCCGGCGGUCUGCAGGGAGAGUCUUGAUGUGCGGCAGCAGGCUCAUCAGGAAGUAAUAAUUGUCGUCGAAACGGCCACCCUCGAGGGGGUCCACCGUCA